GCAGUUGUGGCUCAGUGGUACAGCACAUGCCUAGCAUGUGUGAGGCACUAGGUUCAAUUCUCAGCAACACA
rnacentral:tRNA from 1 species